UUUGUGAAAAUUGGAGAAACCCUUGAAAGAAGGGGGAGUAUUUAGCUAAGGGAAGACAGAAAAAAAUGAACAUUCCAGAUGGGAACAAUUACUGUGGCAGAGACUGAAGGGAGCUCUAUUAAGGCAGUGAAGUUACCCAUCGGGCCAAAGCAGAGUUCUAAUGUUGAGAAAUCAGUGAAUAACUUGAGUACGGCCACAGUUGAUUAGCUGAAGAGGUGCCAAGAGGACUUCCUUCUCAACCAGCCUAGCAACCCAUAUGCCUCCACUGGGCUGAGCAAGUUGACGCCUGACAUCAAAGUGGGAGCGGAUUUUCGGGAUUGAUCCUGAUGUGAAGAAAUCAACUCGUGGAGCAAGAGAUUUCAAGGGCCAAGGGGGAGGGUGUUGCAUGAACUCUGUCCCGCAGUGACAGAUCUACCUCCAAGGAAAAGUACUAUCUCCAAAAGAGCUAUGACUACAUUGCACACUGUUUCAAUGGCCUGAUGAUGAAAACAUACGUCUGCUGUUCUUUCGGGCGGAGGAGCCACAUAAUAAAUGCAAGCUGGUGUGGCUGACAUUAACAGAAAUGCAUCCCACACUAGUCAAAGAAAAACAACAACAACAACAACAACAACAAAACCCCAGAAACGAAGGCAUUGAGCAAGGCGGAGGGGGGCAGCCGAAGAAGUUGAACACCCUACAUAAAGCCCAUCUACUGCAAAGCUGUGAUAAUCCACAGAUGAGCAAGCCAAUAGACUCUUAGGUGGAUUUUGUUUUUUCCCUGAGCUGAAGAGAAGUGCAAACUGAAACUAAAUUGAUCUGGCUUCCCAUACAUCAUACACAUCUGAUAGGAUUAUGAUUAAAGAUGUAUCAGACGGGCAGAGCAAAGCAUCAAGUAUUCACCCAAAUAAUGACCGCAUGUUGCCCAGUUACUUGGAAAUAGGACCGUGCACCUUCUGGCUGAUUUCUAGUCUGUGAUCACUGAUGGGAAGGCUUCUACUGCCCCUUUAUCUCCCUCCUGGGACAUCCAAAUCUGGCUACAAGUAAAUUAUACUGUCUAUUUGA